rnacentral:lncRNA from 1 species
UGAAGUGUAACUCCAUCACAACACAUGAGAGACUUCAAGAGAAAAAGAAUUCGAGAAUUUUCUCCUUUAUUUAACCUGCAAAAAGGAAACAUAUGUUAAUGAAAAAAGUUAUCUCCAUAUUCUCAUGUGGUCGACCUUGGAGACAGCAUGAUAUAGUAAUGUUGAUUGCUUUUGUUUCUUCCGCCGCUAAUUUCUUGCAACAGUUAUUCUCAGAUUUGGACAUUGAAGCUUAUCCUCAUUAACCAGCCUUCUGCUCGUC